AUCAAUAUCACUCCAGAUAUUUAACCCUUAGAUGGGGAGGUUGAAAAAAAAAAAAAGAAAGAAAGAAAGAAACAGAGCAGUGAUUAUAAAUCCUCCCUUUCUGUUCAGGAUGUCUCGGACAUUCUGGGAGAGAGUCCAUGGCCAUCAUCAGGCUGCCAAAGAGGUCCAGGCCACCAAAAAUCAUCAGAAUCCCUGAGCUGGACCCAGAGAGUGCCCAAAGGCUGCACAGAUGUAACAAGGCUGGAGAAAUAAUGGAGGUAGGCCGGGCAGGCCCUCAAAAGUCAGAUGGAGAAAUUUGUCUUUUUUGUAAAGACAGCAAUAGAAGGCCCCUGAGCAUUCCUGAGCAAUUAUGAUGGAACAGGAAAAUUCUGAAUCAAAA